rnacentral:rRNA from 1 species
GACGUAGGGUGCAAGCGUUGUCCGGAUUUACUGGGCGUAAAGAGCGCGUAGGCGGCUCGUUAAGUGAGAAGUGAAAGCUGUGGGCUCAACCCACAAACCGCUUUUCAUACUGGCAAGCUGGAGUGAUGCAGAGGUGGAUAGAAUUCCCGGUGUAGCGGUGAAAUGCGUUGAUAUCGGGAGGAAUACCCGUGGCGAAGGCGGUCCACUGGGCAUCAACUGACGCUGAGGCGCGAAAGCGUGGGUAG